rnacentral:rRNA from 1 species
GACGAACGCUGGCGGCGUGCCUAAUACAUGCAAGUCGAACGCAGUGGGGACGGGUGAGUAACACGUGGGUCACCUCCCAUCAGAGGGGAUAACACUUGGAAACAGGUGCUAAACCGAUAUCGAUGGAUGGACCCGCGGUGGAUUAGCUAGUUGGUGAGGUAACGGCUCACCAAGGGCACGAUGCAUAGCCGACCGGCGAGGGUGAUCGGCAACACUGGGACGGGACAACGGCCCGAACUCCACCGGGGGGCAGCAGUAGGGAAUCUUCGGCAAUGGACGAAAUUCUGACCGGUAAACGCCGCGUGAGUAAAGAAGUUUUUCGGAUCGUAAGACUCUGUUGUUAGAAAAGCGGUAUCUAACCAGAAAGCCACGGCUAACUACGUGCCAGCCGCCGCGGUAAUAC